ensembl:lncRNA
AUGGAAGCUCUCUCUCUCUUUUCUCACUUAGGAACCAAGAACCCGGAUGGAGGCUCUCUCUCUCUUUUUUUCUUUUCUCACUUAAGAAACAAGAACCCGGAUGGAGGCUCUCUCUCUCUCUCUUCUCACUUAGGAAACAAGAGCCCGGAUGGAGGCUCUCUUUUUCUUUCUCUCUCUCUCUCUUCUCACUUAGGAAACAAGAACCCGGAUGGAGGCUCUCUUUUUCUUUCUCUCUCUCUCUCUUCUCACUUAGGAACCAAGAACCCGGAUGGAGGCUCUCUUUUUCUUUCUCUCUCUCUUUUCUCACUUAGGAACCAAGAACCCGGAUGGAGGCUCUCUCUCUCUUUUUUUCUUUUCUCAGUUAAGAAACAAGAACCCGGAUGGAGGCUCUCUCUCUCUCUCUCUCUCUCUCUCUCUCUCUCUCUCUCUCUCUCUUCUCAGGAAACAAGAACCCGGAUGGAAGCUCUUUUUCUCUCUCUCUCUCUCUUUUCUCACUUAGGAAACAAGAACCCGGAUGGAAGCUCUUUUUCUCUCUCUCUCUCUUUUCUCACUUCGGAAACAAGAACCCGGAUGGAAGCUCUCUCUCUUUUUUUUCUUAGGAAACAAGAACCCGGAUGGAGGCUCUCUUUCUCUCUCUCUCUCUCUCUCUCUCUCUCUCUCUCUCUUUUUUCUCACUUAGGAAACAAGAACCCGGAUGGAAGCUCUCUCUCUCUUUUUUUCCUUAGGAAACAAGAACCCGGAUGGAGGCUCUCUUUCUCUCUCUCUCUCUCUUUUCUCACUUAAGAAACAAGAACCCGGAUUGUAACCUCCAGCUACUGAAGUUAUUUGCCAAGUACAGUAGAGUCUCACUUAUCCAACAUUCUGGAUUAUCCAACGCAUUUUUGUAGCCAAUGUUUUCAAUGCAUCGUGAUAUUUUGGUGCUAAAUUCGUAAAUACAGUAAUUACUACAUAGGAUUACUGCGUAUUGAACUACUUUUUCUGUCAAAUUUGUUGUAUAAGAUGAUGUUUUGGUGCUUAAUUUGUAAAAUCAUAACCUAAUUUGAUGUUUAAUAGGCUUCUCCUUAAUCUCUCCUUAUUAUCCAACAUAUUCGCUUAUCCAACGUUCUGCCGGCCUGUUUAUGUUGGAUAAGUGAGACUCUACUGUAUUAUCAAAAUAUUUAUUUAUUUACAGCAUUUAUAUCCCGCCCUUCUUUCUCACCCCGAAGGGGACUCAGGGCGGAUCACAUGACACAUAUAGGCAAACAUUCAAUGCCUUUUAACAUAGAACAAAGACAAACAAACAUAGACUCCGAGCGGGCCUCGAACUCAUGACCUCCUGGUCAGAGUGAUUCAUUGCAGUGAGUGAUUCAUUGCAGCUGCUCUCCAGCCUGCGCCACAGCCCGAGCCCUAGUUAACUAGGUUAACUAGCUUUAACUGGGUUAACGAGCGCAACAACAACAACAAAACUUUAUUUAUAUACCGCUCUAUCUCCGAUAAGGACUCAGAGCGGUUUACACAUCACAAAAACAAUCAUUACACAAGAAACCAAUAUAACAGCAAUUAACAAACAUGUUUAAAAUUCCAAUAUUUUAAAACAAUGUAAGAGCAAUUGCAACGAAUACAUAGAAUACAUAGCAUGGACCAGAAGUCUACCCUCACCCGGGUGUCCCUUGGGCAACGUCUUUGUAGACGGCUGAUUCUCUCACACCAGAAGCGACUUGCAGUAUUAUUCUCAAUUUGCUUCUGACAUGACAAAUAAAUAAAUAAAUACCAGUCACCAUCUGUUUGCCCACAUAAAACCACAAUAUAACCUAGCUAAGAAACUAAAGCCGAUACAAUUAUCAAAUGCAAUUUUCCAAAUCAGUGCUCCGAAUAACCCCAGGAACAGACCUAAAGACCAAGAAAAUUGCGUAUUAUUGACAUACCAACCGGCAAUAUGUAAAAUAGAGACACUAGAUAGAGAUGGUUGAGAAAAAGAUUGUAAAACUUUUUUCAUACAAGGUACUGUGCAAAAGAUGGAAGUCAAUUUUAUCUUCUUUCUGUAUUGUUGUUGUUGUUGUUGUUGUUGUUUCUUUUCCUUUUCUUACCCCCUCUUCCUUCCUUUCCUGUCACGGUUUCUAUAUAAUGAGAGCCAGUAUGUAAUUUAGAUGCAGAUUCUUUGGAUCUUUCUGUGGCCGGCGCAUGCAUGAUGCGCUCAUGGCUCGUUCAUGUGCGACUAAAAGGGGACACGCAACCUGAAGCUCCUAAUGGGUGCCCGUCUCCUCCUCCCCGAACCGGAUCAAUACCAAUUGCUCUCUCGCUUCUGCCAGUGGCCAGGAAAGGGCAUUCUGUGUUAAGAGUUGCCUUGGACAGCAGGACAAGGGUGAGAAAUACCUCCUUUCGUUCCCAAGCAAGGAAAGCUCACUUGUUGUGUGCAUGCAAACACACACACACACAAAGCUCCCAACUUAGCAUCACAUCUAGUCUGGCCUUGGCUGUAUUUUAACUGUGUCGAUUGAGUUUGUCCCCAUGUGAGCCGCCCUGAGCCCAUUCGAGGAGAUGGAGGCAGGAUAUAAAAACAAAGUUGUUGUUAUUAUUAUUAUUAUUAUUGGCUAUUUCCUCACGCGGAAGGGUUUGCAAUCUAAGCUUAUUUUAUUAUUAUUAUUAUUAUUAUUAUUAUUGGCUUUUUCCUCACACGGAAGGUUUUGCAAUCUAAGCUUAUUAUUAUUAUUAUUAUUAUUAUUAUUAUUAUUAUUGGCUUCUUCCUCAUACGGGUUUGCAUUAUGCUUAUAUAAUAUUAUAUUGCUAUUUCCUC